GACAGAGGUGCCAAGCGUUAGGCGGAAUCACUGGGCUUAAAGCGUGUGUAGGCGGGCGCUCAAGUACCUUGUGAAAUCCCACGGCUCAACCGUGGAACUGCUGGGUAUACUGGUUGUCUUGAGCCAGCUAGGGGCGAGCGGAACAGACGGUGGAGCGGUGAAAUGCGUAGAUAUCGUCUGGAACGCCGAAGGUGAAAACAGCUCGCUGGGGCUGCGCUGACGCUGAGACACGAAAGCCAGGGGAGCGAACGGG
rnacentral:rRNA from 1 species